GGAAGAGCUGCUGACACGUAAUGCUGAGGCCCUGCGGCUGAGUGAUAAAGUCAACCCAGCUGGCCCGGGAUGAGCAAACACUGGUCAUAAAUUUAUCAUCAUUUUUAGCACCUGGGAAACUUGGGCGUCUACCUCAUGAUGUCCUUCUGAACGACAAAUAGCGUUAUUAGGAUACAUAAAGUUCUUUACCAGCAAGCUUGUUUAUGUUCAAAAUAUUCAACUCUCAACAUGCUGCUUCUUUUUAAUGACUGUGAAUGUAGGGCACUUCAGAUCACCUGUGAAAUGUAAGAGUACUCUAUAAAUAACCAUAUAAAUAAUGUAAUUGUUAUUAUGUUUGCGUUGUUCAGUUAGAUACCAUCUGACUGUAAACUGUCCUAUUUCGUCUGCCACCGGCGGAAGUGUGCAGUCUGCAGACCAAUGUCCUGUGUCCUUUAUCUUAUUUUGGGCUAAACACCACCAAGGAGUUUGCGUUCCUCAAAACACCGAAUGGCCGUCUUGGGACAAAGGGCUGAGCUGAACGACAGAGACAAACGCCCCCUGUUCGCUACGUCCCCACCCCGCCGGUGUGAGCAACUCCAGGCGAACGCUCUCCUCUCUUCUGUUUACACUCUUAAUAUGAUGGGACUGUAAAGCAAGACAGGAGGUUGGAGGUACAAAGGGACGACACUUUAGCGCCCUUUCAAUAAGCAACAAUAAACUGAGCAUUGUGACAUCAGGCAAGAUAGCAAGCUCAUGUCUCUCCUUGCCUCUUACUAAAGCCUGUGUAGCUCUACUGCCGACACACUAGCACACACACACUUUAUGUCUCUUCCUAUCUCAACCUCUGCUGCACUGCAUUCACCUCUGCGUGGGCCGUGGCUAAGAAACCUCCAUGCUCUUGUUGUCUCAGCUCUGUCCUCUGGUGCUGGCUAGCUCCAGCCCCCUACCGGUGGCUGACCUUGCGUCCCCUGGCCUCUGGCCCUGCUGCCUGGGAAGGCAGAGGCUGGGCUGGGUCCUGGGCUCAUUAGUGUGCCCACCUGGAGGCUAGCGGGCGGCCUGUGGGGAGCCGGGCCCUUGAUCUGUGGGCUAUGGACAGCAGUGGGACACCAGGGCCCAACCGGAGCCGACGGGCAGACUAGCCGUGGCCGAGCCGAGCUGCAAGAUAACGAGUCUCCCAGCAACCCUCAGCGAAACCCAGUGCAAUCACUUUAAUUGUACCCAUGACUCAGUAAGGACUUCUAUUAAUUACCCAGCCCCUUAUUUACACGAAAGGGAUUAACUCUUUAAGAGGCUCAACAGUUUUAGAGGUGUGUGUGUGUGUGUUUGUUCCCAUUUGUUAUAACUACUGCUGUUGCUCAUAUUGUUAAUCAGCCUUCUGCUUGCUUUUGAAAAAAGAAGGAAAAUUUGUCAAGAAGUGUAGAGAUGUUUUGUCACACUGUUUAUUUUUUUUCUUUGUUUCUGAAGGCACCAUUAAAUCAUUUUGAUAACA